rnacentral:rRNA from 1 species
AUUGAGCGCUGGCGGCAGGCCUAACACAUGCAAGUCGAGCGGAUGAAGGGAGCUUGCUCCUGGAUUCAGCGGCGGACGGGUGAGUAAUGCCUAGGAAUCUGCCUGGUAGUGGGGGAUAACGUCCGGAAACGGGCGCUAAUACCGCAUACGUCCUGAGGGAGAAAGUGGGAGAUCUUCGGACCUCACGCUAUCAGAUGAGCCUAGGUCGGAUUAGCUAGUUGGUGGGGUAAAGGCCUACCAAGGCGACGAUCCGUAACUGGUCUGAGAGGAUGAUCAGUCACACUGGAACUGAGACACGGUCCAGACUCCUACGGGAGGCAGCAGUGGGGAAUAUUGGACAAUGGGCGAAAGCCUGAUCCAGCCAUGCCGCGUGUGUGAAGAAGGUCUUCGGAUUGUAAAGCACUUUAAGUUGGGAGGAAGGGCAGUAAGUUAAUACCUUGCUGUUUUGACGUUACCAACAGAAUAAGCACCGGCUAACUUCGUG